UGCCCCGUGGUGUAACGGUAGCACAGCAGUCUCUGGAUCUGUUUGUUUGGGUUCAAAUCCUAACGGGGCAGCAA
rnacentral:tRNA from 1 species